rnacentral:rRNA from 1 species
UACGAAGGGUGCAAGCGUUAAUCGGAAUUACUGGGCGUAAAGGGUGCGUAGGCGGUUGUUUAAGUCUGCCGUGAAAUCCCCGGGCUCAACCUGGGAAUGGCGGUGGAUACUGGGCAGCUAGAGUGUGUCAGAGGAUGGUGGAAUUCCCGGUGUAGCGGUGAAAUGCGUAGAGAUCGGGAGGAACACCAGUGGCGAAGGCGGCUACCUGGACCAGCACUGACACUGAGGCACGAAAGCGUGGGGAGCAAACAGG